rnacentral:rRNA from 1 species
UACGGAGGGCGCGAGCGUUGUCCGGAAUCACUGGGCGUAAAGGGCGCGUAGGCGGCCCUGGUAAGUCUGCGGUGAAAGCCCGGGCUCAACCCCGGGUCGGCCGCGGGUACUGCCGGGCUGGAGUGCCGUAGGGGCAGGCGGAAUUCCGGGUGUAGCGGUGAAAUGCGUAGAUAUCGGAAGGAACAUCAGUGGCGAAAGCGGCUUCCUGGACCAGAACUGACGAUCAGGCACGAAAGCGUGGGGAGCAAACAGG